CGCACGUGCCUUUUAGGCAUCCUCUCCUAGACUUCAGGCCGGCGCCGCAAGGCAGCCGGCCUUUUUUUGCGCCCGC
rnacentral:sRNA from 1 species